rnacentral:lncRNA from 1 species
UCGUGUCCACCCGAAGAUCCAACACUCUUACACAAUCAUAGUCCAUUGAAGACAUCUUCCUUCCCCUCUUCCCUGAAAAAAGACAAGGUUCGGAUUCGUUAGCAAUCAACUAAGUCGACUAAUCAGACGUGGGACAAACGUAGAGUAGACACCACCAUCCGUCCACCCCUAAUGGACGAAUCCCGACCAAACUCCUCGAUCUCUUCUCUGGUAUCUCGUCAUACCCAAUUCAGGGAUCGGCCCUACUACAUCCGUUGAUGGGUUAUUUUAGGUACCAUCUCUAUCUCAUACAACAAUUAACAAGUCAUUUACAUCAACAUUUAUAUGGUAUUUUGAACUUUCAGUCACCGUCCGUGAUUAGUGUUAACGUAUGAGGCAGUCAUAGUUGUUGCAAAUAUUGUUAGAAAACACCUACGUUAUACCUAAUUUAGC